UACGGAGGGGACUAGCGUUGUUCGGAAUUACUGGGCGUAAAGGGCGCGUAGGCGGCCUGUUAAGUCGAACGUGAAAUCCCCGGGCUCAACCCGGGAACUGCGUCCGAUACUGGAAGGCUUGAAUCCGGGAGAGGGAUGCGGAAUUCCCGGUGUAGUGGUGAAAUGCGUAGAUAUCGGGAGGAACACCAGUGGCGAAGGCGACUUCCUGGCCUGUUCUUGACGCUGAGGCGCGAAAGCUAGGGGAGCAAACGGG
rnacentral:rRNA from 1 species